CGACGGAGCACACGCCGUUCAGACGUGUGCAGAACAUUUACCAAAACCAACCAGGGCUGCACCACGUGCAGCCACUGCAGAGUCCCCAGGACCGAGACCACUCGGUGUGUUUUCAACCACCAGGACAUUAAACAGGAAGUCAGUCAUGAAAAUAGACCCGUGAGAAACAGUCGCCUUGAAAUUAAACAAGAUACAAUCAUCAAGUCAGUCAAACAAGAAAUUGCAAUGGAAUUUAUAAAACGGACUUAGAGAAUGAAAAUACUGAGGGAAGAGAAAAGGAAAAGUCAGUGAGGCCGACAGCCAAGGCUGGUCUUUGGAGAAACAGCCUGAAAUGUCACAGCCACAGGCAGAGAGAGAGCUGCCAGGCAAAACCAAGCUGCGGCAGCACUGGUGAGUCGGGGGGAGGGAGGGCAGCAGAGAAGCCUUCGUUCUCCAGGUCAUCAGCCGGCUGCCAGGGAAAGUUUCCUCCCCUUUUCAGGCAUGAACACGGUGGGCUCCGAGGGAACCUGCAUGGGUUGUGGGAGGGGGUGGGGGCUUAUCCAAAACACACCCACAGCUGCACAAACAAGAGAGGCUGCGCUUUGUGCUCCCUAAAGACACACCCGCAGCGGCACAGAUAAGGAAGUCACAAGAACAGCGAAAGAGACCAGCGGACUUUCUUAUCAAAGCGUUUGGAUUCAACUGUGAAAAUGGCAGCCCACUCGGGCCCCCUCUCCGCCACAGAGAGCUUUUUUCUUUCACUUAUUAAACUUUCGCUGCAACUUCUCCCUGUGUCCACGCGCCUUAAUUUUCUGGGUUGUGAGACGAUGGACAACGAGCUCGGAUAACACCUUAGACAACGUGACCAGCAACCCUAGACCGUGUCGAUCCUACGUAUCAAAACUUGGGAGACUAAAACGGGGGUUAGAGGAAAAAUACAGCCUUGAAUACAAGAAAAAACCCAGAAAAACCUUGAUUUAAGCUUUGAUUUCAAGAAGCUGGACAACAACAUAAAUCAUAUCUAAGGACAGCAAAAGGCAGGUACGUCCCGGCCUGGCCUGCAUGGGGCGGGGGCCGCGGAAGAACCCUGCGCCCUCCACACGGGACUUGACGUCUGCUCUGCCCUGGCCCCUCCUCGCUGGAGCACCAUCAGCAGCAUUCAUGGAUGAGGACGCAGCUCACAGGAGGCCCUGCCGACCCUCGCUUCUGGUCCACACCCACCCGCUACCUGAGCAGGCCAAUGGAGGCUGGUUGCAUGCAGAGCCUCGAUUCCAUCAAUUCACUCGAGGCACGGGUGACUGGUGUUGGAGCCAGACUUGGGAUAGAAGCAGGAGCACCUACCGAGGGGCCCGCCUCCCAGUAGCAGUUCUGGGGCUACUACCAAUAAAGCUGCUGCCAACAUUCAUGUGCAAGGUAUCCACAGAUCCUGAUCCACAGACGUGAUGGGGGAGUAUCUGAUCCCUGUUAUUCCAUUUCAGCUAGAAGCAGAAGUCAGCUGGCUUGUAAGGUAAGUUACAGUGGGGUUUAUAUCCCGGUGGGAGUGACCCAGUGUGCACAGGAACCAGGACACCUGCUUACGUCUUGAAGUGACAAUAGGCCCUGGACGCUGUGAAGCCUCCCUUCUUCCUCAGCCAUGGCGCCCUGGGCCAGGCCAUAUAAGCCCUGGAUGCUGUGAAGCCUCCCUUCUUCCUCAGCUACGGCACCCUGGGCCAGGCCAUACGCUUCCAAGUAAUACGCAGUUUUUUGUUCUUCAUCUUUCUCGUUCUGGGCACGUAACCUUUAUAAGACAUAAGAAUGGAAUUUUAAAACAUUAUGUUAUUAUUACUAAAUGUUUAAUAUGUCAUUUUCUAUCAUACUGUAUAUUUUAUUAGUGCUUAAAAUGAUGUUUUAAAAUAGCUAACAUGUAAAGACAUCCUCGAUACGUCUUAGAGGUUUAAGAAGCUGGAAUAAUGCAGUAUGUACAGUGUAUUAUGGUUAUAAAAAUUAAGUGUGCGCUUGAAGGAGAUUUGCUGAAGCAAUUCCACAGCAUCAGCUUUACCCAGCGGGCUGGGUCUGAUCAGCUAACUGAACUUCUGCAAGGACAAUGUACGACAUCCACAGUAACAGACACGGCUCAGGCCAUCAUCCAUCUCUUUCAGUAGCAACGAGCACUCUGUGGGUUCAGUGACCGCUGAGUGCUGCGCAACUCUGACCCGCAGGCUCAGGCACCUGACGGAGGGACGGUUUGGGGCCUGGAGUCAGAAGCCCCAGGGCCGCGUCAGGGCUUGCGGCUGGGCUGCCGCUGUUCUCCCCGGUGUUCAUCCAGGGAUGCUCGGAGAAACGCUUUCGGAGCAUUUCUCGAAAAUCAACAUCAUAUGGGCCUCAUUCUGUGAUCGCAUGUGAUAAAAUCAGAAACUCACAAGCCCCACCCCAGGCACUGUAUCCAGGUGGAAAUUCAAAAACCCUCUCCUACUUGACUCACUAGUGGAACAGUAUCCAGGCGGAAAUUCAAAAACCCUCUCCUACUUGACUCACUAGUGGAACAGAAACCCAUGUUGAAGCGUUGGGCUGUUCACACGCUGCAGCUGGGGGGCCCAGGGCAAGGUCGGGAGGGAGGCAGAGAGCACAGGCAUGAGGCCGCCGCCCCGGAGCAGCCACAGCAGGGCCCUGGGCUGCCCUCGCGCCAAUGCAGGGAGCUCCACAAAGAUGAAGCAGAACACAAGGAAAGCCUGAGUCAGGCAGAAAUCCGUGUUGCUGGGGUCUGUAAACCAAAGCCAGCUCCUUGAAAAGGUCUGCUGCGUUGGAGCCUGUGAUUCUGAUUUAGAAGAGACGGCGUUGCCAUCCUGGCCAACAUGGUGAAACCCCAUCUCCACUAAAAAUACAAAAAUUAGCCGGGCAUGGUGGCACAUGCCUGUAAUCCCAGCAACUCGGGAGGCUGAGGCAGGAGAAUCACUUGAACCAGGGAGUCGGAGGUUGCGGUGAGCUGAGAUUGCACCACUGCACUCCAGCCUGGGCGUCGAUAAAUGGCAAUAAGGGAGGCGUGCCUGCCGCAAGGGUUUUGUGAAAGCUAUAAGAACACACUCCCUACAAAUUUAUACCGACACACCACAGACUUAGAGGAAAAGGUUUCCCAGGCCCUUCCCAAGGCCCUGAAGUUGACUUUCUAAGCCAAACAGACGGGACAUGUGGAUGGAAGGUCCACUUCUCAAAGAAAGUCUGAAGCAAGCUCAGGAAACUUCUGGAGCUUUCUGGAGCUGCACGGAAAGCUGUGGAUAUGUGGCCCCAUGACGUGGGUCUCUGAACUUGCAUAGACUUGACGUAUGGCACAAAAAUUGCAGAUGGAAAAGAGGAAACCACAGCUUUCACGCUAAUGAACAGUGUUUCUUACAAAGAGUUACCUGGCUUCUAGAUCUGUGAUCAUGAAUUCCAGUAAAGGCAAUCGGUUUGGUCUUUCUUUCUUGAG
rnacentral:lncRNA from 1 species